rnacentral:lncRNA from 1 species
UUCUUCUUUCCCAACGUGUUGUUCAUCAGCAAGAAUAAGCAUUCUUGUCUUCCACCCUUCAAUGAUCAAGUUCUAUGCUAUUUACACCCAAAACAAAAAAAAAGUUUACACCCAAAACAAAACCAAAUAUGCUUCUGUACCAAACCACUUCUUUUUCAACUUGAUUAAAUUACACAUCCAAAUCUCUAGUUGAUUCCUUGCAGCUUCUCAACAACAAAACAUAAAAAAAAUCAGACCCUCUAUAAAGAAUCAGAUCUUUGAGAAACCAAGAAAUUUGAAGAUUAUGGAGAAGAAGAUGAAGAAACGAAUUAAAUCUCUGGAGACCAAGAAACUUUAUCCUUUUCCUCUCUAAAACUUCAUCUUUUUCUCAAAUUUCUUCCCCAAACUUCAUGAGAAAGGUUAUUGGAGAGAGGGAAAAAAAAUGAAUUGAAUAAGAUGAAGAAGGAUGAAGGUCAAAUGAGGAAGGCAAUUGAAAAAGAUGAAGAACGAUGGAGGUAUUGGGAUGGAUGAAGAAAAGGGGGAAAUUGAAACCCUAAAAAAUUUCUUCCUUCUUUGAUUCUAUUUAAUUAACAGAAGAUUAAUGAAGCAUGAAGGGAUAUGCGAAGAAGAUGGUAGAAUAGGAUGGAUCGAUUGAAGAAGAAGCUGAAAUGGAGGAGUGAAGGAAGAAAGGGGGAAAAAAUGGGGAAACGCAAGAAUUUUUCUCUUUUUCAGCAGUUUUAAUUUUUUUUUUUAAUUAAGUAAAAAAAAAUAAAUUAAAUUCAAAAAUAUAUUAUCUAAUUUUUAAAAAUGAUUUUUAAAUACGUGAAUUGCCACAUGUACAUGAUUGCAUGGUCAGCAAUUGCUAUGUAGACUAAAAUGUGUCAAAUCAGCAACAAAGUGGGUCCAAGGACUAUUUUAAAAAACAAAAAAUUUUACAGGGAUGUUUUUCAACAAAAAAAAUUUUACUAAGACCAAAACCCAAACUCGUUAUAUUUGCAGGG